AUUGAACGCUGGCGGCAGGCCUAACACAUGCAAGUCGAGCGAGUGGCGGACGGGUGAGUAAUGUAUGGGGAACUGCCCGAUAGAGGGGGAUAACUACUGGAAACGGUGGCUAAUACCGCAUACCAUCGGAUGUACCCAGAUGGGAUUAGCUUGUUGGUGGGGUAAAGGCUCACCUAGGCGAAGAUCCCUAGCUGGUCUGAGAGGAUGAUCAGCCACACUGGAACGGAGACACGGCCCAGACUCCUACGGGAGGCAGCAGUGGGGAAUAUGGCACAAUGGGCGCAAGCCUGAUGCAGCCAUGCCGCGUGUAUGAAGAAGGCCUUGGGGUUGUAAAGUACUUUCAGCGGGGAGGCGUUACCCGCAGAAGAAGCACCGGCUAACUCCGUGCCAGCAGCCGCGGUAAUAC
rnacentral:rRNA from 1 species